rnacentral:rRNA from 1 species
CCGGUGGAACGAGCGGCGGACGGGUGAGUAACACGUGGGCAACCUGCCGGACUGAUGGGAAUAACCCCGGGAAACCGGGGCUAAUGCCCAAUACGCCCUGACCUCGCCUGAGGUCAGCGGUAAAGCAGGGAUCUUCGGAUCCUUGCACAGUCCGAUGGGCCCGCGGCGCAUUAGCUAGUUGGAGAGGUAAGGGCUCCCCAAGGCGACGAUGCGUAGCCGACCUGAGAGGGUGAUCGGCCACACUGGGACUGAGACACGGCCCAGACUCCUACGGGAGGCAGCAGUAGGGAAUCAUCCGCAAUGGGCGAAAGCCUGACGGUGCAACGCCGCGUGAGUGAUGAAGGUUUUCGGAUCGUAAAGCUCUGUUGACAGGGAAGAACCCACGCCAGUCGAACAGGCUGGCGUGCUGACGGUACCUGUCCAGAAAGCCCCGGCUAACUACGUGCCAGCAGCCGCGGUAAUACGUAGGGGGCAAGCGUUGUCCGGAAUUAUUGGGCGUAAAGGGCACGCAGGCGGUUUCGUCAGUCCGAUGUGACAGGCCACG